ACGGCCAUACCACGAUUAAACACCGGUUCCUGCACGAUCACCGAUGUUAAGCAACCUCGAGCCUGAUUUGUACCGAGAUGGGUGACCGCUUCUGAAUACCAGGUGCUGUAAG